rnacentral:rRNA from 1 species
UACAGAGGUCCCAAGCGUUGUUCGGAUUCACUGGGCGUAAAGGGUGCGUAGGUGGCGUGGUAAGUUUGAUGUGAAAGCUCAGGGCUUAACCCUGAAAUGGCAUUGAAUACUACUGUGCUGGAGGUUUGGAGGGGGGACUGGAAUUCUUGGUGUAGCAGUGAAAUGCGUAGAUAUCAAGAGGAACACCAGUGGCGAAGGCGAGUCCCUGGACAACACCUGACACUGAGGCACGAAGGCUAGGGGAGCAAACAGG